ACUUGCUUCCUUCCCAGUCCUGAGAAUAUAGACAUUUAGGCAUUCUAGAAUAUGGACGACAUGUCCAAUUUGUAUCUCUUCACUUUAAAUAUUUUAAAGGAGUUGGCAUAUUUCACACAGCUUAAGGAUAAUUUUCUCCUCAUUAAUGAAAGGAAUUUGCAAAAGUAAUUAUUGAAUACUUAGAAGUAAAGCAGAACAUAAGGAUUAUCAUUGUAGGCAGAGCUCUUGGAAAUACAUAUACAUGAAAAGAAGGCAACGUGAACUUGAAUAAUGCUUAUGUCUAAUUUAUUGUGUGCAGAUCUUUGGCUGGAAUGCUGAAAGAUUCAUUGAGAAAAACUCAAUUCAUUGUUUCAGUGUUGAGAAAAUAAAAGGGACUUUUCUAUUAACCUCCAGAUUAGGUCCCAUGUGUAUCAGCAAACCGCCAAAGGGGUGCAGUCUGGAAGAAGGUUAAGAAACCUGCUAGGACAAUGUGAGUUUCCUGGAGGCAAUCUGCUGCAGCACCUUUCAUAUAAGAAAAGCUCGAAAAAUGUCUACCAGUUUUUCAAACGUCACCUCCAUGGAACUUCUCUUAUUCUCACUAUCUGAAGCCUUAAAACAAAGAAGAAUUAACACAACUAGAAACUCAAGCGAAGAAGUUAAUUUAUGGGGAAACAAGUUCUAUUUUAUGCAGGUAAAAUUUGAAGUGAUGGUAGAAUAAGUGUUAUGUCCAGCACCUACUUGAAGAGAAGUUGGGAUAUAGACCAGGGAGUCAACAGUAUAGAUGAGAACUGAAAUUAUGAAAUAUCCAAGAGAAAAAUGAAAAGGCUCAGAGGGCUGAAAAUUACACCUUAACAUGAAGCAAUGGAAAUGAAACUAGCAAAAAGAGAAAAAGAUAUUUAUUGAUUAAAAUAAUAAAAGCUAAUGAUUGAUUAAUAAUUAGGUGAAUGACAACCCUACCACAGGGGUCACAGUAAAGCCCCAACUGUAGGAAAAAGGAAGAAAGAAAGAAAAAAAAGAAGAAAGAAA